AGUGAACGCUGGCGGUAGGCCUAACACAUGCAAGUCGAACGGCAGCACAGUAAGAUCUUGCUCUUACGGGUGGCGAGUGGCGGACGGGUGAGGAAUACAUCGGAAUCUACUUUUUCGUGGGGGAUAACGUAGGGAAACUUACGCUAAUACCGCAUACGACCUACGGGUGAAAGCAGUGGAUCUUCGGACCUUGCGCGAUUCAAUGAGCCGAUGUCGGAUUAGCUAGUUGGCGGGGUAAAGGCCCACCAAGGCGACGAUCCGUAGCCGGUCUGAGAGGAUGGUCCGCCCAACUGGAACGUGAACACGGGCCAAACUCCCACGGGGGGGAGCAGGGGGGAAUUUUUGGAAAUGGGGGGAAGGCUUGCGCAGGCACUCCGGGGGGGGUGAAAAGGGCUUCGGGGCGUAAAACCCUUUUUGUAGGGAAAAAAAAAAGGGGGAUUAACUACCCGCGUUUUGACGGGACCCAAAAAAAAAAGCACGGCUAACUUCGUG
rnacentral:rRNA from 1 species